CGCGUAUCCAACCUGCCCAUCACUUGGGGAUAACCUUGCGAAAGUAAGACUAAUACCCAAUGACGUCUCUAGAAGACAUCUGAAGGAGAUUAAAGAUUUAUCGGUGAUGGAUGGGGAUGCGUCUGAUUAGCUUGUUGGCGGGGUAACGGCCCACCAAGGCAACGAUCAGUAGGGGUUCUGAGAGGAAGGUCCCCCACAUUGGAACUGAGACACGGUCCAA
rnacentral:rRNA from 1 species